CAUGUUUCAGUCGAUAUUAUGGAGUUAAUUUGGAAAAAAGUUUGGCGUUUUGAUGACUGAAUUUUCGUUUUUUUUUUGAUAGCCAAACGUGACGCACCAAACGGAGCAAUUUCUCCUAAACAAAUAAUCUUUCAGGAAAAACGGAACAUUUGCUAUCUAACUGAGAGUCUCCUCAUUGAAAACAUCCGAAGUUCUUCAAAGGCCAACAAGAUGUUCAACCUGAUGACUGUAUAAAGGAAUGGACACAGCCAUCGAUCACGUGACACCAUUCGUUCCUAGGUGAAGACUCAACAGCGCAUUGAAACCAAAUGAGCAUCAGUAGAACAUGCCUGACACUCCUCCACACAAGGAGAUUGGUCUAAUGCCUCCCUUCAAAAAGAGAGCUGGCCCAAGCAAGAACAGGUUACACCUGAAGCAUGAGGACUUGGAGCGAGUGGUGAACUUCAUCAACAACUACAGGAUAAUGCAACAGUAUUACCAGGAUGCCACCCGGGACACAGGCUCUUUGGUGGAAAGCUGUUGUCAUGUGAUAAAAGCAGUGGUGUGGCGUCUCUACAAGGAAUCAAUGACAACACUUGGUCCGAGUGCCGCCGCCGUUGGGACCGGGGGUCCCUCAGCUGGCUCGUCGGGCAUCCACGC
ensembl:lncRNA